CCGGGUGUAGCUCAGUUUGGUUAGAGCGCCUGCUUUGGGAGCAGGAGGCCGAGAGUUCAAGUCUUUCCACCCGGACCA
rnacentral:tRNA from 1 species